CAGGAGAAAGCCAGUAUAUAAAGCAAUCAUUGCCAGACUGUAACAGGUGUGGGAUGAAUAUCCUGCAGAUCUGUAGUGGUGAACAUUGAGAGCCAAGCCACGGUGUGGAAGUGAUCAGAGACAUGGACAUGAUCUACAGCUAUCUUUCCUCUCUGGUGGAUAAGAUCAGCUCGGUCUUCUGGAGGACAAGCAGCAGUUCAUCACCUGCAAACAGUUGGACCGUGAAUGGGAAUCAGACACAGCCAUCAGAGAACAAAAAUGAUGUCCCAGUCACAAAACCUCCCAUUUUGGUGUCUGAGCUCCAGGAGCGGAGCAGAU